GACGUAGGGGGCGAGCGUUGUCCGGAUUUAUUGGGCGUAAAGCGCGCGCAGGCGGUUCGGAAAGUCGGAUGUGAAAAUCCGGGGCUCAACCCCGGACGUGCAUCCGAUACUUCCGGACUGGAGGCAGGUAGGGGAGAGCGGAAUUCCCGGUGUAGCGGUGAAAUGCGCAGAUAUCAGGAGGAACACCGGUGGUGAAGGCGGCAUCCUGGACCGGCAUUGACGCUGAGGAGCGAAAGCCAGGGGAGCAAACGGG
rnacentral:rRNA from 1 species